AAUAUUUCAAAUAGUUUAAUUUUAAAAAUACUCUAUUCAGUGCUAAAAUAGGUCUUCACUUGCUGUUACCCAUUUCCAUUUUCUUAAACUUCUCUUUUUUUCAGACAAAAAAUAAAAUCAUAAAGUUUAAUUAAACAUGCAGAUUUUAAAGAAAAGGGAACGUUCUAGAAAGUCUGAGCUGAAAGAGUACUGGGGGCAGGUACUGUGGUCAGAACCUCCAAUCAUGGCUGGGGUUUUCUGUGGCAGGAGGCAGGGAUGCUGGAAUGAAACAGGUGAAGACAGGAAGCUGCGCGUGUGCGUAGUGAGCGUGAGGAAGCGGAAGGUUCUCGGGCUGCUGUAUUAUUAGAUUUUGAUUUUUCUUUCU
rnacentral:lncRNA from 1 species